UACGUAGGGGGGCAAGCGUUUGUCCGGAUUUAUUGGGCGUAAAGAGCGUGUAGGCGGCCAAACAGGUCAGCUGUGAAAACUCGAGGCUCAACCUCGAGACGUCGGUUGAAACCGUUUGGCUAGAGUCCGGAAGAGGAGAGUGGAAUUCCCGGUGUAGCGGUGAAAUGCGCAGAUAUUGGGAGGAACACCAGUGGCGAAGGCGGCUCACUGGACCGGAACUGACGCUGAGGCGCGAAAAGCGUGGGGAGCAAACGGGG
rnacentral:rRNA from 1 species